GCCUUUCCAGAUGAGCCGGAGCUAGAGGAGUACCUUCUACAGGUAGUAGUACUUUUAUUUUGAGUUCAUGUACAUACAGAUGUUAUAACUCGCUGGGGCGAGUAUUUUUGUACCUGGACGCUAUGUAUAUAUAUGGAACUUGUUUAUAUAUCUGUUUUAUCUCUAGCAGCUCUAUACUACUGGUUGUAGUGUUGUAUGUUUACAGGUACAGUACAGCUUUCGCUUCGUAUACGGAAAAAAUUUCUAUGUAUACGGCGGGUCUGUUAGCGUGCCCAGGGAAACGAGUAAUCCAGGGCGUGACAAAUAUGUUAUGGACUAUUUAGUAAAUAUUUCAAUGUUUGAGAAUAGUGAUAAAAUUAAUAUAUAAAGCUAUAAUUAUAAAUAUAGAUAUAAAAUUUUUUUUAAUUAUAUAAUAUAACAAAUAAUUAAAAUUAUAUAUAAUUAUAUAAUUUUAAAUAUAGAAAAGCAGAUUACUUUAAAUAUUUAUUAUGUAAAAAAAUUACCUUAGAAAAAUUAACUUAGUAGCAUUCUAUUUUAGCAUUUGUCUGAAAAUACAAAACAACUAGAAUUUCAAACUUGGGACCUCCGAUGCCAACCAUUAAAUGUUUUGCC
rnacentral:lncRNA from 1 species